UGAGGAAUAUUGGUCAAUGGACGCAAGUCUGAACCAGCCAUGCCGCGUGAAGGAUGAAGGCCUUCUGGGUUGUAAACUUCUUUUAUUGGGGAAGAAAACUACGGUUUCUACUGUAGCCGACGGUACCCAAGGAAUAAGCACCGGCUAACUCCGUGCCAGCAGCCGCGGUAAUACGGAGGGUGCAAGCGUUAUCCGGAUUCACUGGGUUUAAAGGGUGUGUAGGCGGGUCUGUAAGUCAGUGGUGAAAUCUCCGGGCUCAACCCGGAAACUGCCAUUGAUACUAUAGGUCUUGAAUACCGAUGAGGUGGGCGGAAUAUGUCAUGUAGCGGUGAAAUGCAUAGAUAUGACAUAGAACACCAAUUGCGAAGGCAGCUCACUAAACGGUCAUUGACGCUGAGGCACGAAAGCGUGGGGAUCAAACAGG
rnacentral:rRNA from 1 species